GCAUCUGUUCUAUCAGGUCUGUGGCCACGAUGUCCUCUGGGAAAGACAAGACCAAACACUCUCAGUCACUAUGGGGCGGUGUUGUGGCAGAAUUGGGGCUGAACUGAUGCUUACCAACAAGAAACAACUGUUUCUUAGACAGUCAACAUCCUGGUUUAAAUCAAACCAAUCCUACACCAACUUCCCCUCACCGCCUUCCUGUGGGUCUGAGAACAGGAAGUGAUGUCCUCACCAUGUUUGUGGGGCUGUAGCUGGUCCAGGCUGUAGGCUCCCAGCAGUAUGUUGGCUUGCCUCUGCAGAGACUUGCCAAAGGGAUGACAUCCCCAGGACACCACAUAGUAGAACACACAGCCUGCAGAGAAGAUGUCCACCGUGCACGUCUACAGAGGAAGAGAGAGAGAGGUUGGGAGUUCAAUAAUGGCGUUCUGUUGAUGGUUAGCAAUCAAUGUCUUUGAUAAAGGCAAGAUAAGUAUGUAA